AGAAGCUGUAUGAAACGACUCUUGCUGAAAUGAAAAAGUUGGGAUUUUUGGAAGAAAAAGAUAACUUAGGGGCCAGUGGAUUAGAUGACCUCAAGAGAUCCCUCCCAACAUAAAAAAUUCCAUGAUUCUCUGAUAGAUAUUUCAUAUAUUAUAUGUUCUAUACCUCAUAAAUUGAAUAAACCAUAUAUUUUAUUCUACUGAUAAAUAUUAAUUAUUGUUAAAUAUAUGUUCAUUACACAUUAUGCAAUUUUAUGCAUUGUAUUUUACAUACUGUAUCAUGCAAAUAAAACAAAAUAAAAUUAAGCAAAAGCUAAUGUGCCUAUUUUUCUUUAAAUAAAGUUGCAAACUAAAGAAGUACUGGCAAAAAAAAUAGUAAGAUAGAGAUGUUUCUGUGCUCUUGAUGGAGUAUUUUACCAGCACAGUCUCCAAUUCAAUGUCUAUAGUGACAACAGAGGAGUAGCCACUAUGACUAUGAGUACUGCAAUUCCUUAUGCAAACAGAUCACUCUAUGUGUCUAAACAUAUAGACACACACAAACACAUGACAAACUAGUCCCAACACAACACUGGUUCAUUUCUAUUUAUCAUUCUGAGUGCAGUCACACCUUUCCACCUCUCCUGAAGGUCAUGAAUUGGCAUUUGGUGGGGGGAUGGAUGUGCAUUUCUAGCCUCCAAAAAUUUUGAAAAAGGGAGACUGCAACUGCUUUCUGGCCAAGCAUUAACUGCAGGCUGCUGGAUAGAAACUGAGUAGUCACGGCCUUCGCAGGCGGAGCGUGGGAGGUGAAAUGCACCGUCAGUGAAUGAGGUUGCCGGGCAAGACACACACACACACACCCACACAGCAGCUGCUACCGCUGCUCCUGUCAAUAGCCCCACCAUCUGAAGGAGUCAGGCUUUUUCAAAGGGCUAGCAAUUCACUCCCUGCUGCUGCUGACCCCAAGGCCCCCAGUGUAGCCCCUAACUUUGCUCUAAGGUGCAUACACAAGAGGUGACAGAAGCCACAAAGCCACUCAGCCAUGCUGAGGCAGCCAACCACAGGUAAGCAGACAGGUUUAGCUGAUUAUUACAGGCUGAAUGAACCUGAUGGCUGGAAGAGGCUGACAUUUCAGGAUUGGUCAGCUCAGAUACAUGAA
rnacentral:lncRNA from 1 species